UGAUUUUUUGGGUGUUAUUCAUGAGAUGUCUGUUUAGGAUGAAUUUCUGUUUUUUGGGGUUUUACUUAUGAUUGUUUAAUAUUAGUAUAAUUAUAGUGUAAUUUAGGGAUUUCUUCACGUUUUCAUAUUUUCUUCAGUUAAUUGUAUAAGCUUGCUUAUUUUAUUAGGGCUUUUCUUUAUUUUUUCUUCUUUCCUUCAAUUAAUUGUUGAGUAUAGUACAUGUUAGGAAUUAAUUGGUACGUCAUUAUAAUCACAGUAUGGCUGCAUUUCCUUAUUUUGAUUUAAUCAUCAACUACAAAGGGAAAGUGGGAAGAGUGUAUGAUGUGGACCCAAAUAUGCAUUGCUACAUUGAUGCCUUGAAGGAUGUAACUGCAACAGUCCUCUCUCACGUUUCUUGUAGUGAAGCAAUAGCAAUCACAUUGCAUUGUGAUAUGCCUGGUACUGACACAAAAAGAUUAAUAGAAAAUGAUCUUGAUGUACUAGACAUGUUUUAUGUGCAAGGUAGGAGUAAAACAAUUAACUUGUAUGUUGACAUAGCAUAUUCUAUUGGAAUGGAAUGAGUAAUGGUGGACUUAAAAGUGAUGUUGGAAAUGAAAAUGGUAGAGGUGGAAAUCAUGGAGUAGAUGCUGUAGAUGUAGAGCAAGACUACCAUACUAUAGAAGUAGAUGAAGAGUACCAUAAGGACAAUGUUUAUGGGUUUAGUGAUGAGGAUAGGGAUUGGAAUGCAACUGCUGAGGAUGAAAACCAAUUAGAUGGCAAUGAGAUUUUAAGUGAUGAUGAUAAUAAGUGCUCAAGUGAAGAUGAUGAUGCUGAACUUAAUGAUUACCAAUCUGGUGAUAAUGAAGUGGCAUAUUCUACUACUGAUGAUGAUUAUGAUGAUGAAGCAGACUGUCUAGAUGAUGAAUAGAUGAGGUUUCCAGCCAUGAAGUAUGAUGGUACCUAAAAUGGGAAAGAGCCAUAUAUAAAUCAAGAUGGAGAAGUUGUAUUGGAAGAAGGGAUGAUUUUUCCAGAAGUGAAUACUUUCAGGGCUACAUUGAGGGACUAUACAGUGCAAACUGGUUUCAAGAUAGUAAGAGACAAAAAUGAGAAGUCUAGAGUAAUAGCCCAUUGUGUUGCUGAGGGCAGCCCAUUAUGUUGCUGAGGGCUGCCCUUGGAGAAUUCAUGCAUCUCCACUUCCAGAUAGGAUCACCUACAAGAUUAAAACCUUAGUACCCACUCACACAUAUAGCAGAAUGAACACAAACACUGAAGCUACAUCAGCUUGGAUUGCUAAAAAAAUGGUUGAAAGUUUUAAGGACAAUCCACACAUGGGCUUAGAUACUAUGCAAGUGAAACUAAAUAAAAUGUUUGGGAUUGAGGCUUCAAGAAUGCAACUGUAUAGAGCCAGAAAGAGGUGCAAGGAGGAGCAGGAGGGUGAUCACGGGAGCCAAUAUGUGUUAUUGCCAACAUAUGCUAAGGAAAUCAACAAAACAAACCCUGGUAGAGUGGUGGUCAUAAAUUAUGACCUACCCUCUACCCUAGUCUCAGAAGAUGAAGAAGAACCAGACCUUACCAUUCCUCAGUAUCCAUUGUUCUAACGAAUUUUCAUAUCAUUUGAUGCAAUGAAAGCAGGGUUCAUUAAUGGAUGUAGGCCAUUCAUAGGGGUAGAUGGUUGUCACUCGAAGGGUCCCUAUGGUGGUGUUUUAAUUUCAGUAGUUGCCUUAGUUGGAAAUAAUGGCUUGUUUCCAUUGGCAUUGGCAGUAGUAGAGGGUGAAUGCAAGGACAGUUGGCCUUUUUUCUUGCACAACUUGAGAACAAUCAUAGAAGAGGCACUACCUUCUAGACCAUGGACCAUCAUGUCUAAUCAACAAAAGGGCCUUGACAAGAUUGUGAGCAACAUUAUACCAGAGGCAACUCAUAGAAGAUGUUGCAUGCACUUAUAUAACACUUUCAGAGCCAAAUUUCCUAGUUUAAUUUUGAGGAAACAAUUUUGAAAGGCAGCAAGGGCCUACAAUCAGAUGGAGUGUGAUCAGGCUAUGCAAGCCAUUAAGGACCUAAACAAUGAUGCUUUCAUUUGGUUGCAGAAGGUUCCAGGAGUGAUCACAUCACAAAUAAUUCAACAAUUGGUUAGGAACUUUGAGAACUCAGCCAAUUUUAACUAUGUUAGAGGGCAUAAGGUACAAGUUGAUGGGUAAGUUUCAGAUGAUGUACCAAAAGGCAAUGCAAUGGAAAUCUAAUGUGACAUUGAAUAUGAAGAAACAGCUUGAGGUCACACUGAAAUGGUCAAGAACUUGCACAGUUGAGUAUACGGGAGGCAAUGAGUAUGAGGUGAAGGAUAAUGAGGGGGUUAAUCACAUUGCCCAUAUUGGGGCUAUGACUUGUGUAUGUAGACAGUGGGAAAUAUUUGGUCUUCCAUGCAAGCAUGUUGUGGCUGCAAUUUCUCACAGUAGGUUAAACAUAGAAGAUUUUGUCCACCCUUACUAUUCUAAGGCAACUUACUUAAGAGCCAAUGGUGGAAUGAUACAUCCCAUCUUAUACUAUAGCAUGUGGACACUUAUACCUAGGGACCCUGUACAACCCCCACCUCUGAAAAGAUUGCCAAAAAGGCCAAGGACUUCAUGAGCCACCAGUUGGAACAAGUCAAAGCACAAGGUCUAGUACCUUGAGAUGCAAAUGGUGCAUGCAAUUUGGACACAACAAGAGAACUUGCCAAAGAGGUCCAGUCAGGGGUGGAGUAUCUACUGCUGGUAAGGGCAGUGGCACAUCCAGUGGUAGAGGCAGUGCUAAAACUACUGGUAGGGGUAGUGGCAGAUCUGUGAGUAGGGGCAAAAGUAGAGGCAAUUCAAGUGGGAGAGGUAGUUCAGCUGAGAGGGGAAAUGCAAGUGGUAGAGGCAAUUCAAGUGGAAGGGACAGUUCAGCUGGAAGGGGAAAUACAACUACAAGAGGAAGUUCAACUGGGAAUGGAAGUUCAAGUAGGAGAGGCAAGGGCAAGGCCAAGCAUGCACAAGAUAUUCCAAGAAGGACCCCUCCAAUGCCUACUCAGUGUGUGACACAGGUCACACAACAUCAUAUGACUUAGCUAAGCUGUUGAUAUUUUGGGUACAAGGAUUAACAUAGGUUGAAGUGGCCAUGAAGUAUUUUAUAAAUACUCAUUUUGGGAAUGUAGAUGAUGCAAUUGCAUAGACUUGACAAAUAUGGUCCAUGGAAUGUUGCCACUUUUGUUUUUUGGUAGUGGCAAUGAAGUAUUUUAUAAAUACUCAUUUUGGGAAUGUAGAUGAUGUAAUUGCAUAGACUUGACAAAUAUGAUCUAUGGAAUGAUGUAACGGAACAAAUCUGAUAGGAAUGGUGUAAGUAAACUAAUUGAACAUAUUUGAGAACAAUCAUGAUGUAAUUAAAUAGUCCUACUUGAUGUUUAGAUGAUGGAAUGGAAUGGUCUUUAUGUU